rnacentral:rRNA from 1 species
UACGAAGGGGGCUAGCGUUGCUCGGAAUGACUGGGCGUAAAGGGCGCGUAGGCGGUUCGUAUAGUCAGGCGUGAAAUUCCCGGGCUUAACCUGGGGGCUGCGUUUGAUACGUACGGGCUUGAGUUCGGAAGAGGGUCGUGGAAUUCCCAGUGUAGAGGUGAAAUUCGUAGAUAUUGGGAAGAACACCGGUGGCGAAGGCGGCUCACUGGCUCAUUACUGACGCUCAGGCGCGAUAGCGUGGGGAUCAAACAGG